rnacentral:lncRNA from 1 species
GUGGUUACUAGUUAAUGAGAACCUUCAAAAGAAAACAGGGUUAAAUUGACAAAGACUGUAAAAAAAAAAUAACUUUUUUUUCCCCUUUUUAAUCCUUUUUGCAAAACAAACUGGCGUUUCCCCUAUUUUCCCAACUUAUUUUACAGAAGUUAGCUGUCUCAGAAUGAGCAUGUGCAGACAGGCAAGAAGACAGAGUUUGGUAUAAAUAUACCCACCCUGUCAAAUUUUCAUUCUCAGGUGGUCAGCACAGGCACAUUAGUGCAGAAAAAGGGUAAAUCCUACUUUAGCCAGAGUUUGUUACAGGGCAGUAAGUAUUUAUCACUCAUCCCUUUAAGCUCGCUUUCCCAAUAAUGCAAAUGCAGGGCUACCUACGAACUUUGUGUUGCCUGUUGCACAUUUCUAUGAAAAACUGUGCUCUUGAUGCACAUGUAAGAAUUACUUAAGCUUCUUUAAACAGGUGCAGGUUGGAACUUUACUGACUAAAGCACACAGAGCAGGGAAUAGAACCUUUUUCCCCUAGACACAUUUUGAUUGAAGGAAGCCCAAGAGGUAUAAUGCUGAGGAGCAAAGAAGACACUUUCUGUUACUGGAAUAUAUCCUAAAGCAAGUGGCUUUGCAACAAUUGGAGGGGGGGGUGGGGUGGAACAGUAAGGUGCAUGGAGGCCAUUAAUUUGCCAGGAGGGCACUGCGGAUAUAAGAAACAGCAGGGAAGAGUGGGGCAUCAGGGAAAAGUUAGAAAAGCAUUGAACAAACAUGAUGAGAUGGCAAGGUAUAGAAGGAAGUAGGGACAAAAGCCUAAUUGAAUGCUUUGAAGUUACAUUGAGUGUUAGAAAAAAGGCAACUGGUUCAGAAGCCUAAAAUGGCCUAAGUACUAAGAUGGAAAAGUCAGUAAUAGAAAAGGGGAAAAAAAAAUCCUUGAUGCAGCUUGAUGGGAUGAGGGAGAAAGAAGGAAACCAGCAGAACUGCAGGUUACAAAAACUGCAGAUAUGCUUGUGUUUCUCCAGAUGUAUCCGGAGGCUGCAUUAAAAAAAAAAAUAGAGGCGACUGUACGUUUGCAGGUCAUAAAGCUUCCUAAAGUUAUUUAAGAAACAUAACACUGAAAUUGCUUCUUCUGCCUUCAUGAAGAUUGGGUGCAAUGAUAGACUGAGGAAAGCCAUUGCCUCUGCUCAGAGACAACUUACACUUUCUAAGUGGCUCAUGAACAGCUGAAGUCAACCCUGGUCAUACCAAUGAGAGCACAGUCAAUAAAGAUAAUUGUGUUUGUUUAGCA